rnacentral:lncRNA from 1 species
CCAUGUUUGAGUGAGCCUCAUUUUGGCUGUUUGUACUUUAUAGACUGCAUUUUAACAUUCUAAAUUGAAGAAUUGAAUUUUUUUUGUUAAUUAAUUUGAGGUUAUCAACUUUGAUACUUUUCUUUUAUCCAUGUAUUUUGGUUAAUAGCAAGAACCUAGUGAAGCUCAAACAAAAAUUGCAAACGAUCAAGUGAAUGGAAAUAACAAAAUAAAUAAAUGUCAAAUACCACAAAAGAAAUACCAUAAGAAUGGCAAAGCAAGGCAUAUUUGAAGGUGUUUCGAUCUGCAUCUUUCCUGUGACGGAAAAAAGGACAUACAAUGUGAGAAUUGAUUGACUUGGGUAUAGAGUAAUUAAUCAAGAUUGUAAUCAAAAUAAAUGAAUUAUUACCAAUAAUAAAAAGAAACCAUAUACAAAUCCAAUUAUUCAAGUAUUUAUAGUAAUCUAUAUCAACCAAAUCUUCGCUUAAGGUCGAUCAAGAUACUAGUUACCUAACUAACUCUAGUUAGCAACACUAAAGUAACAAUUAACCAUACAUUCUAACAUAGUGUUUGACAUAUAUACAACCUCAUCAUAAUGCACUCUGAGGAUUCAAUCAAGUUCAACGCCAUCAAUUGUUCAAUCAUCGAAGGACUGCUAAGAUCGAUAUAAUGGGCUCGUUCCAUAUCUGGAAGGGAUUGACUAGUUGAGAUUCUGCAUAUCUGAGCUUUCUCAGUUUUAUGUAAAUAUGAAGUAUGAGAAAAAUGAAAGCUCAGUCUUCACUUCCUUGGUUAAUAAAGAGUUCAUUAUUAUGUCCGAUGAGUCCCUAAG